rnacentral:rRNA from 1 species
CUACGGGACGCACCAGUGGGGAAUCUUAGACAAUGGGGGAAACCCUGAUCUAGCCAUGCCGCGUGAGCAACGACGGCCCUAGGGUUGUAAAGCUCUUUCAGCAGGGAAGAUAAUGACGGUACCUGCAGAAGAAGUCCCGGCUAACUCCGUGCCAGCAGCCGCGGUAAUACGGAGGGGACUAGCGUUGUUCGGAAUUACUGGGCGUAAAGCGCGCGUAGGCGGAUUGUUAAGUCGGGGGUGAAAUCCCGGGGCUCAACCCCGGAACUGCCCUCGAUACUGGCAGUCUUGAGUUCGAGAGAGGUGAGUGGAAUUCCGAGUGUAGAGGUGAAAUUCGUAGAUAUUCGGAGGAACACCAGUGGCGAAGGCGGCUCACUGGCUCGAUACUGACGCUGAGGUGCGAAAGCGUGGGGAGCAAACAGGAUUAGAUACCCUUGUAGUC